GACGAACGCUGGCGGCGUGCUUAACACAUGCAAGUCGAACGGAAAGGCCCUGCUUUUGUGGGGUGCUCGAGUGGCGAACGGGUGAGUAACACGUGAGUAACCUGCCCUUGACUUUGGGAUAACUUCAGGAAACUGGGGCUAAUACCGGAUAGGAGCUCCUGCUGCAUGGUGGGGGUUGGAAAGUUUCGGCGGUUGGGGAUGGACUCGCGGGUUAUCAGCUUGUUGGUGGGGUAGUGGCUUACCAAGGCUUUGACGGGUAGCCGGCCUGAGAGGGUGACCGGCCACAUUGGGACUGAGAUACGGCCCAGACUCCUACGGGAGGCAGCAGUGGGGAAUAUUGCACAAUGGGCGGAAGCCUGAGGCAGCAACGCCGCGUGCGGGAUGACGGCCUUCGGGUUGUAAACCGCUUUCGCCUGUGACGAAGCGUGAGUGACGGUAAUGGGUAAAGAAGCACCGGCUAACUACGUG
rnacentral:rRNA from 1 species